ACUCCUGCGGGAGGCAUCAGUGGGGAAUUUUGGACAAUGGGCGAAAGCCUGAUCCAGCAAUGCCGCGUGCAGGAUGAAGGCCUUCGGGUUGUAAACUGCUUUUGUACGGAACGAAAAAGCUCCUUCUAAUACAGGGGGCCCAUGACGGUACCGUAAGAAUAAGCACCGGCUAACUACGUGCCAGCAGCCGCGGUAAUACGUAGGGUGCGAGCGUUAAUCGGAAUUACUGGGCGUAAAGCGUGCGCAGGCGGUUAUGUAAGACAGAUGUGAAAUCCCCGGGCUCAACCUGGGAACUGCAUUUGUGACUGCAUGGCUAGAGUACGGUAGAGGGGGAUGGAAUUCCGCGUGUAGCAGUGAAAUGCGUAGAUAUGCGGAGGAACACCGAUGGCGAAGGCAAUCCCCUGGACCUGUACUGACGCUCAUGCACGAAAGCGUGGGGAGCAAACAGGAUUAGAAACCCGAGUAGUCCCA
rnacentral:rRNA from 1 species